UCCUUGGUGGUCCAGUGGUUAAGACUUUGCCCUCCCAAUGCAAGGGGCCUGGGUGCAAUCCCUGGUGAAGGAA
rnacentral:tRNA from 1 species